CAGGCAGGGAGGGGCCAAAUCUGAGUCGGGAAACCUGGCCUCUCCCAGAAUUUGUGUCCAUGGACAAGAAGUGAAAGUGUUAGCUCGUUAUUAGAGAGAGAGAGGAUGGGAAAGGCACAGGCUGGGUGAAUUAAUAGCAGCAGCAGUAAAGCAGCUUUGUGUGAGUGACCCUGAUAUGAUUGACUGUAUGUUCAGGAUAUGUAAUGAUGGUGGAGCCUUCCUGCAAAUACUGCACUAAGGAAAUGCAGGUUCCAAAGUCCAUUGCUUUCAGAGAGAUUACUACUGUGAAAUUUGUAAACAUGAAAUUGGUGGAGAGAAUGUAUGU